GUAACCACAACAUGGUCCCUGGAGGUCCCUCUCUCGCUCACCAUAGAAGGAGCAGACCGGUGUAGAGUUUCUAAACGCAGUAAUGAGGAGCCAUUAGACACAGAUGGGGAUGUGUCCAGACCUCUCCCCGUGGGACAAUCACAGCACGCCAAGACCCACCAAGAUGUGGAGCAGCAGGCAAGGAGACCCCGAAACAACUCAUAUGUGAGGAAGACUGAGAAGGAAGAGAGACAUUCCUGACAGACUUUUUUUGUCUCACUGCAUUGCAUCACCGACGGACUGUUCGUUACACUGCAUUGCUUUCCUGAUGGGCUGUUCGUCUCACUGGGCAGGAACCCUGCAGUGAGCU